GAUUCCAUAACUACUAGAACUGCUGGGAGCGGUCAUUUUCACCGUCAGAUUCCAAACUCUAUAAUCUCUCAUGAUAAAUACCUAAUUGCAAUAUUAUUGCAGGUAUUGUUUUAGGAUAUCUUUAGGAAAACGAAAUCACACCAAAAUGUAGAUUUUGUGU